rnacentral:rRNA from 1 species
AUUGAACGCUGGCGGCAUGCCUUACACAUGCAAGUCGAACGGCAGCACGGGAGCAAUCCUGGUGGCGAGUGGCGAACGGGUGAGUAAUAUAUCGGAACGUGCCCAGUCGUGGGGGAUAACGUAGCGAAAGCUACGCUAAUACCGCAUACGAUCUAUGGAUGAAAGCGGGGGAUCGCAAGACCUCGCGCGAUUGGAGCGGCCGAUAUCAGAUUAGGUAGUUGGUGAGGUAAAGGCUCACCAAGCCGACGAUCUGUAGCUGGUCUGAGAGGACGACCAGCCACACUGGGACUGAGACACGGCCCAGACUCCUACGGGAGGCAGCAGUGGGGGAAUUUUUGGGACAAUGGACGCAAGUCUGAUCCAGCCAUUCCGCGUGCAGGAUGAAGGCCCUCGGGUUGUAAACUGCUUUUGUACGGAACGAAAGGUUUCUAUUAAUACUAGGAGCUCAUGACGGUACCGUAAGAAU